ACGCUGGCGGCAGGCCUAACACAUGCAAGUCGAACGGCAGCACAGGAGAGCUUGCUCUCUGGGUGGCGAGUGGCGGACGGGUGAGGAAUACAUCGGAAUCUGCCCUGUCGUGGGGGAUAACGUAGGGAAACUUACGCUAAUACCGCAUACGACCUUCGGGUGAAAGAGGGGGAUCGCAAGACCUCUCGCGAUUGGAUGAGCCGAUGUCCGAUUAGCUAGUUGGCGGGGUAAAGGCCCACCAAGGCGACGAUCGGUAGCUGGUCUGAGAGGAUGAUCAGCCACACUGGAACUGAGACACGGUCCAGACUCCUACGGGAGGCAGCAGUGGGGAAUAUUGGACAAUGGGCGCAAGCCUGAUCCAGCCAGGCCGCGUGAGUGAAGAAGGCCUUCGGGUUGUAAAGCUCUUUUGUCCGGAAAGAAAAGCAUUCGGUUAAUAACCGGGUGUCAUGACAGUACCGGAAGAAUAAGCACCGGCUAACUUCGUGCCAGCAGCCGCGGUAAUACGAAGGGUGCAAGCGUUACUCGGAAUUACUGGGCGUAAAGCGUGCGUAGGUGGUUCGUUAAGUCUGAUGUGAAAGCCCUGGGCUCAACCUGGGAAUGGCAUUGGAUACUGGCGGACUGGAGUGCGG
rnacentral:rRNA from 1 species